rnacentral:rRNA from 1 species
GAUGAACGCUAGCGGCAGGCCUAACACAUGCAAGUCGAGGGAGGAGCUUUCGGGCUUCGACCGGCGUACGGGUGCGUAACGCGUAUACAAUCUGCCUUUCACAUAGGGAUAGCCCGAAGAAAUUUGGAUUAAUACCUAAUGGUAUAUAGGAGUGGCAUCACAUUUAUAUUAAAGCUGAGGCGGUGAAAGAUGAGUAUGCGUUCUAUUAGCUAGUUGGAGAGGUAACGGCUCCCCAAGGCGACGAUAGAUAGGGGUUCUGAGAGGGAUAUCCCCCACACUGGUACUGAGAUACGGACCAGACUCCUACGGGAGGCAGCAGUGGGGAAUAUUGGACAAUGGUCGGAAGACUGAUCCAGCCAUGCCGCGUGCAGGAAGACGGCCUUAUGGGUUGUAAACUGCUUUUGCAGGGGAAGAAUAAGGACUACGAGUAGUUUGAUGACGGUACUCUGCGAAUAAGCAUCGGCUAACUCCGUG